CACACGUCUCAAGCAAAUUAUUGUCUCUCUAUAUUAUACUUCCGGUGUUCGUAUCGUCUGAGUUCAUUUUUGUAGCGCUCUUUCGUUUGCCUCUUUUCUCUUCGAAGUUGAAAUGGUCGCCGAAAAGAAACAACAGCGGAACAACACAAAAGCCGAAGAAGAUGCAUAAUUGUUUGGCUCUUGGAACAACGCAUAUGGCUGGUUAAAUGUCAUUGUUGGCAGCACUGCUGUUAUUUGGAGUGACAAAACUGGGACUCUAACUACCAAUAUGUUGUCAAUGCCAAAGGUGUUUGGCUCUUGGAUCAAAGUGUAUGCUUAAGUUAACCCUGCAGUAUAAUCCCGAUAAAGGGAAUUAUGAAAAAUUUCUGGAACCAGAUUCAUGUUUUGUUCUCAAAGGGUGCCCUAUAAAUUAUAAUUUCUAGAUAUACAACCAUUCUGUGCAAUUGAUGAUGGUUCCAUUGUGCCACUUACAGCUGAUAUUUGAGCAGAGCUGGACUCAAGGUUCCUAAGUGGAGCAACAUGAUACCUUUGAGAUUGUCGUGGCCAAGAUAGCAAAACUUCUUGUAUUGCGAUUUGUCAAGGAUUUUCUUAAUUUCCUCUGGUUCAUUGCCAUCUUACCAACACUCUUUGAUUGUGUCUGAUUCAAGUUGCAUUUGCGAAUUUGUUUUUUAUGACUACUAUGCAUGAAUAACUUAGUUAUUUUGAUGGACUCCAACUACUUAUUAGGUUUUUAAACUACUGAAAUUAAACUUUGCUAUUUUAUAAUGCUUACUCAUUCUCUCACAUGUUGCAGGAGAGAGAAGUGAGCAUUUGCAAUUUUUACAUUUUUUUGUUUAUUGUUAUAUGGAGGUGGAGGGUCUCAGGAGAUUGGUGAAUUUUUAAGAUUUAGGGAUUGUUUCACUUUUGCACUUGAAGAUAAUUUUAAGUAGUUAUUGACUUACCUUUUGCACUUGAAUUUGAUUUCAGCUUUGGAAUUUCGAUGAUGGACACAUUUUUGAGGCAUGUAAAGACAAUCUCAAGAAUCUUUAGUUAAGUUAUCUAGAUUCACUUUCUUAUUGUCAAAAGGCAUACUGGUAUGUUUUCAAUUUCUUGUUUGUUUUCUUUCUGAUUGUUGUUACGUUUCUUCCUGAUUCUUGUUUAUCUUUGCUACUUGUUAGAGUUUUUCUCUUUGUUCCUCAUUCUGGUGACCUUGUGCUGAUGGAAGGUAGAAAUGAUGUUACGCGUUUCUCUGCUUUUCAAUUUCUUGUUGAUUCUUGCUUGUCUUUGUUACUCGCCAGGGUUUUUCUUUAAAACCUUUUUUCUAGGGAUCUCUUCCUCAUCUGCGUUGUAUUUCUUCUGUUUUCUUCUGUUAUUGGAAAAGAAUUAAUUGAUUUUCAUAAUGCAGUAUCACAGCAUCAGUUCAAAUAGAGUAACGGAAGUUAAGAUAAAAAAGUGGUCAUUUAAAGUUGAAAUGACAAAAUAGUCUAAUCAAAAUGUUUACAUGAAAAAUGCCUUUAUUAAUAGUACUAAUAAAAAAGAACUUUAUAUAUUUAUAAUUAUCAAAUUGUGCUAAUAAAUUUCAUGGUAGAAAUUGCCGGAUUUGUUACCUCUAAAAAUCAACAAAUGAUGCAUAUAAUUGAGUAGUGAUCCUACGAGAAGGUGAUUUUAAAUACAAAAAUGCUAAUAUCAUAUUUCUAGACACUAUCCAACACAAUUCCUAUUAUUAUGAGAUCCAUAUAAAUUUAACUCAUUAAUAGAAAGUGUUAAAAGAGUGUGUUGCUCUCAUUGUACUAAAACAUAAUGAUCUGAAACACAUCACAUGGAAAACUCUUUUUAAGACUUUUUGAAUUUAAAGAUUGGUCAGAAUGAUAUUUCUGCAUUCAGCAUGAAAGUGGAAAUGUGCCACACUGGCACUGCCAUGCACUUUAAUACAUUCUCCCAAGUCCUAAACUCCAAGCAAAUGUAUAGUGUCAUUGGUAAUUCUGUGUGAUUUGAUAUCAAGUUUUCUCCAUACAAUUGCAGAUCCAUGUUCAGGUAAAAUACCCGGAGACAACAGAAUUGGGGAUGGAAUUUGUGAAGUCUAUGAGUGAGCAAGAUUUCUAUGUCUACCCUGAGGCAGAUAUGUUGCUUACAAGGAAAACUAAGAAACCAUUUUCGUCAUUCUCGGAAUGUGGAAGGGGUUGGGCUGAUCCUGAGAUCCGCCGCCAGCGCUUGGAAAAAAUGAAUCUCAAUAAAAAGCCAAAGAUGCUACAAAAUCCCAAAAACAAAAGGCAACGAAGGAGAAAAGCUGUCACUUGUGCAUUAAUGGUCCACCACAGAGACUGCAUCUAAAAGAAGAUGCAGUUGAUCUAAUGAGCAGGCAGAAACGAAAGCCUGAGACAGCAAGUUUGUUGCAAACAAGGCUCAUGGACAGGUGUUUUAUCAUAAAAUAGUGGUUGCCUUCUUAAUUUGUACAAAUGUAUCCCAAAACUUGGUGGUCCCAGACCUGCAUUAUGAGAGGUGGAACACUCUCGAUGUUUGUGGUCGAACAAUGUUAGAGAGUUUCCAUCGAGGUCUUGAAAGAGAACUGUGAGUGGGAAGAUAAAAAUCAUUACACCAUUGUAGAUACAGAUGAUAUUUGUAAGGUUUCCUUUAAUUUUAGUUUUUUUGAUUGCAAUAAAAUUUCUAUUUUUCUUUCCUU